AGCCUGGUCCUCCUGCCUUCUCUUUGGGGGUGCAAAGAAGGAUGCUCUAAAUGGCAUCAGAAACCACAACUAUAAUUGGAAAGCUCUGUGAAUAGCAACACACUUAAAAAUACCUCAUCUGUCUUGCAGACUAAGGGGACCUAAAGCAUGUAACGCAGACAGGGGUACCAAUGAAACCAAUGAAGAAAUGAAGGUUUGGUAAACUAGUGAACUGGAUCUAAAUAUCAUCUGCAUUUUAAGUAUUGCCCAUGUUGGAUUCCAGCUCUGUUUCCAUGCCCCGGCCUGCCAGCAGUCUGUAGGAAGGCAACCCCAUGCAUCCUGCAAACCCAGCUUGUCUCAAGAGAAUCUGCAGCCGUGCCACAGCUUCCACAUGGAUUCCUUCUCCUCUUUGUUACUCAGGGUGUAGGCCAAAUUGUAGAUGUCAGCACAGUGGAUGGUGCAUUUCAGCAGUGGAUGUGGUGAUAGAUUUUGGUGCAGAUUUUAAGGAGUGCGGCCUGAAGCAAAAGAAAAUUUGCUGGCAAAAAUGCAUACAUAAUGAUGAUACCAAGCAGACAGGACCUGAAGCAAUGAAAAGAGCUGCCAGCUGUGGCACUGGGCAUGGAAUGUUAUCUGUACCCGUUAAUACUCAUCACUAGUAUUCUAAAUAUUAAUCAUAUUUCCUUUCGGGGGGGAGGGGGCAAGCAUUUUCCCUUUUAAAUCAAUCCUUCACUUAAGGAGCAGCAGCAACUAUCCAACUCAAAAUGUUAUUGAAGUGUAUCAUAAAAAGCUCCGAUUCUUGGCAAUGCCAGGCCAAACAUUCCCAGGUAAGCCAAUAGUCACAUACAGAAAGAGGAAUGGAACUCACUCAACUGGUGAAGGGGCUCUCUGGCUGUGCAGCACUCCUUCAUGGGAAGCAGCACAGGUCCAAGAGAUGCCCUACCUUCGGUAGCUGGCCUCAUGUGAGCACAGGAUGGCUCUGCGUGGGGCCAGCCCUUCUGGUCACUUGGGGACCACAGAUGCAAACAAGGUGACCCUGGGCCAUCCACGGCCCUUCACCAGGUGCUCCAUCACCACUUCCAGCUGUGACCAAACAGUUCCCCUACUUAAAGGCCUUUUUCCAGUUAAUAAAAUGGGCCUCACAAAAGUCGAGUGACACAACUACCUGUUUUUGAAGGUGGCACAGAACAAAAUAACAACAUUAGGAAACUUAACACGAUUUAUCAGUCUUCAAGAGUUCACCUGCUGCUGCUCCUCCAAUGACCUCCUCUGACCACUUCGGGUGUUUUCACCUAAAUAGCCCAGCUGCAAGUUACUGCUCAGAUGUCACGAGAGCAGUCUACCUCUCUGCCAAUUUUAAAGACUGUGGUGGCUAAAAUGAACAACCUGACUCUAUCUGUAUUUCUCCUUCUGCAAGAACCAACUUGAAGGAGCAUCUGCAAGAACAACUUUCUAUCACAAAUGGGGAAAUCGUAGCAGAAAUAAGUAAAUCACAAAGGAGGAGAACAAGGCUGGCAGGAAUAAUGAGGUCCUAGAGGCAUACGAAGAUUUUCAGAAGUCAUCAGUGGACAAGGAGCUAAAAAUUGUCCAGUGGAUUGCUAUUAGAGCAGUCUGUGGUGGGUGAUAUUGGAGUGAUCAUCCAGACUAUGUUGCACUGUGCAUGCGUUGGACUCCUGGCUUUUUUUUUGGGGUGGGCUUUUAGUGCUGUUCAGGUAGAAAGACUUUAUUUACUGAAUGUCUUCUGGAAGCAUUUCUGAUUCAAAGUUUAUUUCUGAUUCACAGUUGGCCAUUUACAAGAAUUUUAUUCACCCUAACUUUUCCAUCAAAUGCUCCUGAAGUAAAGUGGUGUCUUCUUCAUGA